rnacentral:rRNA from 1 species
AUGGCGCAUGCGCGUGCUCUUGUCAUUUGUCCUCUUGGUGUUUGCGGUGGUGAUGGAGUGUCGGUGCAGGUAGUUGAGGGAUGCUCCGCAUCAUUUCCCCCGCCCCUUGGGAGAGAUCCGACCUCGGAUCGUGAUCCUCAUCACCAUGGAAACUGUUGUCAUGGAUGGACUUGUAAUUGGACGAAGUGGAAGUCAUGGAGCAAUCCAAGUACUCCAAGGUGUCGCUGGAGGAGUAUACGUGCAAAAAGAGCAAAACGAACGACACUCGGGAAUACAAUGGCUAGUUCAUACAAAGUGUCCAUUAAGGAAGAAUAA